CCCUUAGAUGUUCUGGGUCGCACGCGCGCUACACUGAUGCAUUCAACGAGUUUCUUCCUGGUCCGAGAGGAAUGGGUAACCUUUUGAAAGUGCAUCGUGAUAGGGAUAGACUAUUGCAAUUAUUGGUCUUCAACGAGGAAUUCCUAGUAGACGUAGUUCAUCAGACUGCAUCGAUUACGUCCCUGCCCUUUGUACACACCGCCCGUCGCUCCUACCGAUUGAAUGCUCAGGUGAGCCAUUCGGACCUUCAUCAUGCCGGUUUCCGGUUUUGAUGAGGGAAAGUCUUGCGAACCCUAUCAUUUAGAGGAAGGAGAAGUCGUAACA
rnacentral:rRNA from 1 species